rnacentral:lncRNA from 1 species
GGGGGGUCUGUUAUUCUGUAAACGAUAUAAGGUUCACCCCUUUUUUCCCUAAUCUUCAAAAAAUUAACCCCUUUUUUCUCUAAUCUUCAAAAAAUUAGACCACGCAUUUCUCUAAUCUUCAUUUUUUUGGCCCGUUAUUCACUAAUCUUCAUUUUUUAAGGGCAUUAUUCUUUAAUCAUUAAACCCCAUCCAAACCCUCGUGUAUGCUUUACUGUUUGAAUCUUUUCCUGAUACAUUACUCUAUAUUCAACAAGUUUCUGUUUACAGAAAUUCAAUGUGACUACUUCCAUUCAACCUCUCCUCAGUAUACGUACAUACACAUCUUUAAUACUGGGUGCAAAUCAUCGAUCAAGGACAAACAUACAGCAUUAUAACAUGAAGAGAAGCAAUAGCUUAUAUUCACUAUAUUUUUGUGGUUUCUUCUUUCAAAGAUAUCAAUAGAACUCAUUGCAUUAUUAUGGGGGACCCAAAUGUAUCUACAAUAUAAAAAAGAAGAUGUAGUAUGAUUGCCAAUGAGACAACUCUCCACAAGAGACAAAAAAGACACAAAAAGUUAACAAUGAUAGAUUACCGUACGGCCUUCAACAAUGAGCAAAGCCCAUACGACAUAGUCAUUUCUAAAAGGCCCC